GCGAUUCUCCCAUCUACUGGCAAGUCACGACAACGGAUGCUGCUCCACUCCUCGCAACUGAUUCCACGUGGUGAGCUACGGCGAUAGCCACGAUUCCGCUCCACUACCCUUCGCAAUAAAUUUCUCCUGACUAUGGGCGGCCCACUACCAGACGGUUACAAACGUCGCCAUCAAUCCGUUACCUCCUCCGCCUAUAAAAAGGGGGACCCAGAUACGUUAUUCUCUAAGCUCUCAUUUUUCAUCUCAAAACUCUGCUAAAUUCUCCGUUCGAGCACUCCAUUCUUGUUGAGGCAGAGAACUGACUUGAGCAUCAGAGGGUCUUGCCGGAGCAACCCCACCUCUGAUUUAGACUUCCUUUGCAGGUCCCGACGGUGACCGUGACUUCCCCGACUCCAGCUUCUCUGGCGCAAGUAGAUUUUUGCACCAACAACAGCAGAAUACUCUGAAGUUGGUCACGUUCAAUGAUGAUGUACCCUUACAUCUCACCUGUAUGCCAUACCAUUGUCUCCACACUCUUUGGUUAAGAGGACAAC
rnacentral:lncRNA from 1 species